UGCAAAGCUAAAUUAAAAACAGUAAAUACAGAAAGUAACAUUUCAAAGAGAGAGAACAAGUAUAUCAAUACUCGAUAUUCUUAAUUGUUAUUAUCCUAUUCCGCAACAUAUGCAAGCUAUAAUGUACAAAUACUUCGUUUCUACUCAAAUAUCUGUACCAUAGGCAUAUCUGCAUCAUAUAUUAUUAAAUUAAACUUCUUAAUUGUGACUAUAGUUUUGAUAAGAUGGCCCUAUUUACAUAUUCCUAUUUGUGCAAGAUGGAAGGCAAGACUAGCUAGCUUUAAUUCUCUUACAAGAAACUAGUAUAACUUGGAAAACAACAAUGAUAAAGCCAUGAAGAGAUUCUAUUAGUUCCUACUAAACAAAACAAUUAGAUCAAAAUUAAGGGUGAAUUUUCAGUAUUAAGAAAUUAACUGUGUCUCUUGAAUCUCCAAUUCAAUUAUGCCAGACCAGUAAUCCAAAGAGUUGACUUACUAUACAAUGAAGGAGUGCAGAAAUAGAAGGAAAGAUGAAGAGGUACCAGAGGGCAGAAAAAGAGUUAGUUUUCUUGUUCCUGCGAUGGAGACACGAACGGCGACCGGCGAGACGGCGGCGAGCUACUCCAACCUCGAAAGAGAAGCCAGGGAGGACGGGGACAGCGGGAAGGAGGACGCCGAGCUACAAGAGAGGGCCUGGGCUACAAGAGAGGACGCGGAGGCGACGACAGCACGGACGGCGGCGGCACUG